rnacentral:rRNA from 1 species
GCCUAACACAUGCAAGUCGAGCGGAAACGACACUAACAAUCCUUCGGGUGCGUUAAUGGGCGUCGAGCGGCGGACGGGUGAGUAAUGCCUAGGAAAUUGCCUUGAUGUGGGGGAUAACCAUUGGAAACGAUGGCUAAUACCGCAUAAUGCCUACGGGCCAAAGAGGGGGACCUUCGGGCCUCUCGCGUCAAGAUAUGCCUAGGUGGGAUUAGCUAGUUGGUGAGGUAAUGGCUCACCAAGGCGACGAUCCCUAGCUGGUCUGAGAGGAUGAUCAGCCACACUGGAACUGAGACACGGUCCAGACUCCUACGGGAGGCAGCAGUGGGGAAUAUUGCACAAUGGGCGAAAGCCUGAUGCAGCCAUGCCGCGUGUAUGAAGAAGGCCUUCGGGUUGUAAAGUACUUUCAGUUGUGAGGAA